UUCGGAUGAAGGUUUUUGUGACUGAGUGGCGGACGGGUGAGUAACGCGUGAGCAACCUGCCUUUCAAAGCGGGAUAACGACUGGAAACGGUCGCUAAUACCGCAUGACGUAUACGAGUCGCAUGGCUUGUAUACCAAAAGGGAAAUCUGAUGAAAGAUGGGCUCGCGUCUGAUUAGAUAGUUGGUGAGGUAACGGCUCACCAAGUCUGCGAUCAGUAGCCGGACUGAGAGGUCGAACGGCCACAUUGGAACUGAGAUACGGUCCAAACUCC
rnacentral:rRNA from 1 species